GCUUGUCUCAAAGAUUAAGCCAUGCAUGUCUAAGUACAAGCCGCUAGUUCGGCGAAACCGCGAAUGGCUCAAUAAAUCAGUUAUGGUUCCUUAGAUCCACUCCAUCCUACUUGGAUAACUGUGGUAAUUCUAGAGCUAAUACAUGCUAUCAAGCCCGACUUCUUGAAGGGUUGUAUUUAUUAGACUUAAGCCAAUAUUCCUUGUGUCUAUUGCGAUGAUUCAUAAUAACUGAUCGAAUCUCAAAUUUGAGAUAAAUCAUUCAAGUUUCUGCCCUAUCAGCUUUCGAUGGUAGUGUAUUGGACUACCAUGGCAGUAACGGGUAACGAAGAAUUAGGGUUCGAUUUCGGAGAGGGAGCAUGAGAAACGGCUACCACAUCUAAGGAAGGCAGCAGG
rnacentral:rRNA from 1 species